CACAAAUUUAAAUUUGUUCCGCCUGAGCAAGAUCAGAGACCACUAUGAUGACACACCAAAUGUGUUUGAUGGAUCGCGGGGAAAGAGCAGGAGUAGGCUUUUGUAGGCUACAGUCCAAGCUGUCUUCCAAUGGUGCGACUACUGUCGGCAUCCAGUGAUUAUCAAUUUGCCCACUCUGGUUUUGGCACAUUCGCCCUAGCCUACAACUCGCAGUGCGGGUAGGCUACCUACAUUAUGAGAUUAUUCUGGAUAAAAACGAGAUUAUUUGUCAGAAUAAGACCCUAUUUAUUGGAAAGGAGCAUCAAACUCACUCAUCACCCUGUGAAGUGUAGCCUAAUAAUCUGCAUGCUUUCGCGAGUCGUUGUGCGAGGACCACACAACAUAUCAUCGCGUGACUCCAAUUUUACUUCGAUAUGAUGAUUAUUAUAUCAAUAUUUGCGCAUAAAAGCGUUUCCACUAACAUUUCUCCAAUAAUUAAUUUUACCGACACAAAAAGAGCCCACCAUGUUGAACGAACAAAUUGAAUGCCGGCAUUUCAUGUUUCCAUCAACCGAGUCGUCACUUUUAGUUCAUGCGCCAUGUAAUUCAUCUGCAUGAAAUUGUCGGAUGGGAAACGUGGUUAGUGACCACCAAACAAACAAAUAUUUUCGUGGGCGGAGAAAAACCUCUCGCUUCGCCUCUUUCGUCUCUUCCUCUCUGACUACACUGAGUAGAAAGUUUGGUAGCGUAGUGACAGACGCUGUGGUCAGUCUAAAGACAUGCAAGUACUGACAGGGUUUCUUGCCAGUUUUACGUUUUAAAAUGAUGUCAACAGCAAUCGCAACCUCCAACAAGUCGUUUAAAUACUUUACCAUAAGAACUUCAGAGUAAAGACGGCAAUGGAAAGGUGGAAUAGUCACGUGCGCGCUAGACUGUUCCAGAGAGAUUUUACACAAAAGGACCCAUUCAGUGGUGUCUUCAACACCUUGUCCAAAUUAGCGGAGCGGCUUGACCUAAGGGAGACAUUUUGGGAUGAGUUACAGAGACCCAGUUCUGAAGGAUAUGGUGGAAUGACAGCUGACCACAGAGAAUUACACCUCAACCUCAGAGGAGUGAACAUAUAACAGAAAAGCUCCCUCGGACAGUUUCUGACCUGACCACCGUCAUGUACCUGAAAGACGCAGAGCUUCAAUACUGCCACUCACAAUGGCGUCGUUUCACCCGUUGACUCAACAAGCAUCUCCGUAGAGCGAUGCUGCGACCAGGUGAGCAGACCAACUCCUGGAUGACUGGAGACACACAAACAACAGACACAGAACACACAGCAGUGGCAGGCACUCGCUUGCGUCCCAACUAAUAUCAAGGUCUGCUUUGGCCAGAGGAGGAUGGUGCACAAUGCCCAGGGUGGACCUUGACACAUUUUCCCAAAAGCUUCCUGUACUAAAACACACCUUGAAUGUGGCUCAAAUGUUUAUUUUUUAUUUUUUUACAUUUUAUCUAUUGAAAGAUAUUGAUUUUAAUCAAUGUAGGUAUGGGUAAAGCUAAUUAUAAACCAAACUGUAAUACUGUUGUAAAUUUUAGAUACUGUAUGUGCAGGCUUAUUUAAGUGAGUACCUAAGACCUAACUCAAUGUUUUAAUAUUAACUGUUUUAAAAUACUAUGAG
rnacentral:lncRNA from 1 species